AAGAAGAAGAAGAAGAAGAGAAAACAAUUAUCAUUUUAAAAUAAAACAGUUAAGCUUCAAGGCUAUUGUACUUACUAUUAUCUUUUAAUUAAUGAACAAACUUGUCACCUUUGUAUUACUUGCUAAUCAUAUUUGUAAAAUUUAAAUCACAAUUUACAUCAUAUUAUUAGCUUUCACAUUUCAGCAAUGUAAUAGCCACUAUUGUUCUCAGAUGCAACUUCAGGAAUCACCUACAGAAAUCUAUGAUCAAUAAUUUGUAUAAAAGAACCUAAAAACUUUCAAUAGGGGUACAAAUAAAGCCGUAUCUUUCCAUUCAUAAACAUUCAAGAAGAUAACUACAUUUACACAUGAAUCAUAUGGACAAGUUUCAAAAUAAAAUCACUUCACCUCAUAUUCAAUCAGAGGCUUCACACAUUUAGGCUUGCAGGAAUCCUCAAGAUACUUCUUUUGAUCA
rnacentral:misc_RNA from 1 species